rnacentral:rRNA from 1 species
CCUACGGGAGGCAGCAGUGAGGAAUAUUGGUCAAUGGUCGGGAGCCUGAACCAGCCAAGCCGCGUGAGGGAUGAAGGUCCAGAGUAUCGUAAACCUCUUUUGUCAGGGAACAAAGGCGGGGACGUGUCCCCGGCUGAGUGUACCUGAAGAAAAAGCAUCGGCUAACUCCGUGCCAGCAGCCGCGGUAAUACGGAGGAUGCGAGCGUUAUCCGGAUUUAUUGGGUUUAAAGGGUGCGCAGGCGGGUUGUUAAGUCAGCGGUCAAAGCCCGGGGCUCAACCCCCGCACGGCGGUUGAAACUGGCAGUCUCGAGUAGGAGAGAAGUAUGCGGAAUGCGCGGUGUAGCGGUGAAAUGCAUAGAUAUCGCGAAGAACUCCGAUUGCGAAGGCAGCAUGCCGGCCCCACACUGACGCUGAGGCACGAAAGCGUGGGUAUCGAACAGGAUUAGAUACCCCGGUAGUC